rnacentral:sRNA from 1 species
AGCGGCACGGAUGCCGCUCGUAUUAACCAGCAGCGAUGUUUCGGCUUUGCCGAAAUUCGCCAUUAAAAGUGUACACGGAUGUACACUUUUAAUGAUAC